AUUGAACGCUGGCGGCAUGCUUUACACAUGCAAGUCGAACGGUAACAGGCCGCAAGGUGCUGACGAGUGGCGAACGGGUGAGUAAUGCAUCGGAACGUGCCCAGUCGUGGGGGAUAACGCAGCGAAAGCUGCGCUAAUACCGCAUACGAUCUCUGGAUGAAAGCGGGGGACCGAAAGGCCUCGCGCGAUUGGAGCGGCCGAUGUCAGAUUAGGUAGUUGGUGGGGUAAAGGCUCACCAAGCCAACGAUCUGGAGCUGGUCUGAGAGGACGACCAGCCACCCUGGGACUGAGACACGGCCCAGACUCCUACGGGAGGCAGCAGUGGGGAAUUUUGGACAAUGGGCGCAAGCCUGAUCCAGCAAUGCCGCGUGCAGGAAGAAGGCCUUCGGGUUGUAAACUGCUUUUGUACGGAACGAAACGGCCCUUUCUAAUACAGGGGGCUAAUGACGGUACCGUAAGAAUAAGCACCGGCUAACUACGUGCCAGCAGCCGCCGUAACAC
rnacentral:rRNA from 1 species